GCAGAGUCCUUUGUGUGUGCGCUAAAGGAUUCGUGUGUGGUCACCUGUGUACUUUAUAGACAAAUUUUGAUGUUAUUUUUACUGUUGAUUUUCAUAUUGGUUGUCUGUGUUUCGAUAUGUUUGGGUGACAUGACUUCGUUUAUUGAUUCCAUGUGUGUGUUAAGUGAAUUGUCAAGUUCAUGUUAUUUAUCUAUCUAUAUCUAUCUCAUCUAGAAUGUUUAUAUAUUUAUGUGUAUCUAUCUAUCCUGUGUGUGUGUGUAUGUGUAAUAGUCUAUUGGUCUAUCUGUCUGACUAUCCAUUUAUCGAUCUAUCCAUCAGUCUAUUUAUCUAUCCGUCUAUAUCCUGUCUGUCUGUCUUGUCUGCCUGUUUGUUUGUCUGUUUAUCUGUGACAUAUCCCUGGAAGCUACAUUUUUUCCCUCUUCCUCCUCCUCUUCCUCUUUUUUUUACGUCAUUUAAUCGGGGGAAUUCGGGAGAGAAGCCAAGACACAUCUGAACUUCCAGGACUAAACUUGUAAAUCGGGGAUGCGAGAAAUUAAAUGUUAUCGUUCAGACACGCACAGUCUGGGAGCAGAGAAGUCCUGUGGUGGUGCUAACAAAUGCAUGCUUUUAUCAUUGACUUUUGUGUAUUCGUAAAUUAUAAGCCUGUUUUCGUAUUGGUGGUUAGAUUAGUGAGUGUUUUUUUGGGUUUUAUGGCUGUUGUUGGAUUCAUCGUUCUGGUCUCAGUUUUUAGUGUGCCAGAUGGGGAGAGAGCAGCGAUUGAGUGUGCAAGUGUGAGAUAGAGUGGCAGUAAAGAGAGGAAGAGAGGAAAUAAUAAAGUGAUAAAUUGUAUGAGUGUGAGAAGAAAGAGUGGAAGAAGGGUUAAGUGUGAGAGGAAAUAAUGGUGAAGAGUAAGAGUGUGAGAGGAAAGAAUAAAAGUAGGGAUAAUUAUGAGAUGAAAGAGUGGAAGGAAUAAGUGUGAGAAAGAAAGAAUGGAAGGUAAAAUAAGUGUGAGAAGAAAGAGGGGAAGUAUGAAUAAGUGUGAAAGAAAUAUGUACGUAGAAAUAAGAAUGAAGAAAGAGUUGAAGUAGGAAUAAGUGUGAGAGGAAAGAGAAGUUGAGUGUAAGUAUGUGAGAGGAGAGAUUCAAUAGAUAUGUAAGCGUGCAGUUGUGAGAGGAAAGAGGAAAAAUAAGGGUGUGUGCAAGUGGGAAAUUAAAAGAGUCCUGGAGCCAAAGUGUGCAAGCGUGAAAAGAAGAAGGAAUAAAUGUUGAAAAAAAAAAAAACACAAGAGAAAAAAAAAUAUUUGCACUGAGAAAAAAUAAUGGCAUGGAUAGAAAAAAAUGAAGAGAGAGAGAAAUAUAGAGAGAUAAAGUAGAAAGAAGAAUGUGUGAAAAAAAAAAAAUCGCUUGGACACGAAAAAAAAGAGAAAAGAAGCUUAUUUGAACUGGAAAAGAAAAUUAUAGCAUAGAUCCAAACAAAAACAAA